GCCCGGGUGGCUCAGUGGUUGAGCGUCUGCCUUAGGGGCAGGAUCCCGGGGUCCUGGGAUCGAGUCCCACCUCGGGCU